rnacentral:rRNA from 1 species
UACGUAGGGUGCAAGCGUUGUCCGGAAUUAUUGGGCGUAAAGAGCUCGUAGGCGGCUCGUCGCGUCUGCUGUGAAAGUCCGGGGCUCAACUCCGGAUCUGCGGUGGGUACGGGCAGACUAGAGUGAUGUAGGGGAGACUGGAAUUCCUGGUGUAGCGGUGAAAUGCGCAGAUAUCAGGAGGAACACCGAUGGCGAAGGCGGGUCUCUGGGCAUUAACUGACGCUGAGGAGCGAAAGCAUGGGGAGCGAACAGG